AUCGAACGCUGGCGGCAGGCCUAACACAUGCAAGUCGAGCGGAGAUGCGAUCGGGUGAGUAAUGUCUGGGAAACUGCAUGUUGGUGGCGGAUAAUUACUGGAAACGUUAGCUAGUACCGCAUACCAUCAGAUGUGCGCAGAUGGGAUUAGGUAGUGGGUGGGGUAAUGGCUCACCUAGGCGACGAGCCCUCGCGGGUCUGAGAGGAUGAGCCGGCAGCCGGGGACUGAGACACGGCCGAGACUCCUACGGGAGGAAGCAGUGGGGAAUAUUGGACAAUGGGCGAAAGCCUGAUCCAGCCAUGCCGCGGGAGUGAAGAAGGUCUUCGGAUUGUAAAGCACUGUAAGUUGGGAGGCGUUACCAACAGAAUAAGCACCGGCUAACUACGUGCCAGCAGCCGCGGUAAUAC
rnacentral:rRNA from 1 species